CGCGUUUGUCGCUAGAGCUGGGCACUGAGCUGGGGGCUCCUCUUUAGCGGUUCCAUCUCCUGGAGAUCCCAAGUGUCUCUGCAGCAGCCUCUGUCACCCUGUGACCUCCUGCAGUCUGCAGGAUCUCAAGCCAGCCUGUUCUCUUGAAAGCUGCAGCAUGAAGAUUGGAACCUCUACAGUAGCUGGCACUUGCCCCAGAAGGAAGCCAUGGUGCAAAUGCAUUGGAAGUGUGGAUGAUCACUGGUGCCAGUUGAGAAAAUGUACUUCUUAAUGGAAGAAUAAGAACUGCAUGCAGAGGCUAUAAUAGAAUUAGAAUACUGCUGUUUUGCAACUGUUAGCAAAAUAUAUGUAAUUAGGAAAAUACUAAUAAAGUAAUGACAAGCAAUUAUAUGAAAGUCACAGGCAGAGGUUCCCUGGACCCACUGAUCACCCUUAAUAAAAUAAAAGUGGGAAAAUCAGA